rnacentral:lncRNA from 1 species
AAGAAGACAUUUUUGUGUUUUAAGUAUUCGACACUUUGGAAGCUAAAAUUUGGUAUGUGUUUUGCUUGGCUUUUGAUAAUUUUUAUGUUUUUGUGAUCGUUGCUUAGUAUAUUGCCUAGCCCAUGUAUUAAUUGUUGGAGUUGAUUAUGAAUUUGAGAAUUUCCAUGGUUGAUAAUGUGAUAAAUUUGUUGUUUGAUGAUGAAAAAUAAAUCUUGGUUGAUAGAUUAUUAUGUUUAAUUAAGUGGUUUUUAGUAAAAAUGUGUAUUAAGGAUUAAAUUGUGAAUUUUGUAAAUUGAUGGGUCAAAAUGUGAAAUAAAUGAUUAAAAUUUUAUUGCUAGAGACCUAAGGU